AGUGAGGCCUUCGGACUGGGCUAAGGAGGUCGGAAACGACCACCUAGGCUCGGAAAGUUCGUCAAACUUGGUCAUUUAGAGGAUGUAAAAGUCGUAACAAGGUUUCCGUAGGUGAACCUGCGGAAGGAUCAUU
rnacentral:rRNA from 1 species